CAUAAUAUUAUAAGAUUGAUAGAGUAUUUGGUGAUUAAUACUAUAAAAUAAAAUAUAAUAUAUUAAAAAAAUUUAAAUAAUUUAUUAUACCAUCAAAAUUUUAUUUUUGAUACACAUUUUAGUGGUCGUUUGGUUGGAUGUAGUUAUAAAUAUAGUAUAGUUAAAAAUGCAUGCAGUUGAAAAUGCAGCAGUUGUAAUUACAUAAUAAUUUGUUUGGUUUUGUGUAGAUGCAACUGUUGGAGUUGCAUUUCUUCUGUUUGGGAAUUUAAAGCUGAUAGUUGUAUUUGUGAAUCUUAUCACCUCUUUAUUUAUUUAUUUAUUUAUUAUUUAUUAUUAUUAAUUUGUGGGUGAUUCUAUUCCUCACGAACUGUUGCAGUUGGAACUGCUGCCAAUUUGAAUGUAGUUCCAACUACAGCAUUUGGACCUUCCUGUGUAGUUACAACUACAGUAGUUGGACUCAACUGCAUUAAACCAAACACAAGAAUUGAGGUUGCAUGCAUUUGUAACUGCAGUGCAGUUGCAAAUACAUGCAAUCAAACAGCCCCUUAGAGUACUAGAUUGAUAUGAG
rnacentral:lncRNA from 1 species